UACAGAGGUCUCAAGCGUUGUUCGGAUUCAUUGGGCGUAAAGGGUGCGUAGGCGGCGCGGCAAGUCGGGUGUGAAAUCUCCGGGCUUAACUCGGAAAGGUCAACUGAUACUGUGCGACUAGAGUGCAGAAGGGGCAACUGGAAUUCUCGGUGUAGCGGUGAAAUGCGUAGAUAUCGAGAGGAACACCUGCGGCGAAGGCGGGUUGCUGGGCUGACACUGACGCUGAUGCGCGAAAGCCAGGGGAGCGAACGGG
rnacentral:rRNA from 1 species